rnacentral:rRNA from 1 species
GACGUAGGGUGCAAGCGUUGUCCGGAAUUAUUGGGCGUAAAGAGCUCGUAGGCGGUCUGUCGCGUCGGCUGUGAAAACCCGGGGCUCAACCCCGGGCCUGCAGUCGAUACGGGCAGACUAGAGUGCGGUAGGGGGAGACUGGAAUUCCUGGUGUAGCGGUGAAAUGCGCAGAUAUCAGGAGGAACACCGGUGGCGAAGGCGGGUCUCUGGGCCGUAACUGACGCUGAGGAGCGAAAGCGUGGGGAGCGAACAGG